rnacentral:rRNA from 1 species
CGUAGAACCAACUGGGAUUGCCUUAGUAACGGCGAGUGAAGCGGCAAAAGCUCAAAUUUGAAAUCUGGUACCUUUGGUGCCCGAGUUGUAAUUUGGAGAGUACCACUUUGGGACUGUACUUUGCCUAUGUUCCUUGGAACAGGACGUCAUGGAGGGUGAGAAUCCCGUGUGGCGAGGGUGUCAGUUCUUUGUAAAGGGUGCUCGAAGAGUCGAGUUGUUUGGGAAUGCAGCUCUAAGUGGGUGGUAAAUUCCAUCUAAAGCUAAAUACAGGCGAGAGACCGAUAGCGAACAAGUACAGUGAUGGAAAGAUGAAAAGAACUUUGAAAAGAGAGUGAAAAAGUACGUGAAAUUGUUGAAAGGGAAGGGCAUUUGAUCAGACAUGGUGUUUUGCGCCCCUUGCCUCUCGUGGGCUUGGGACUCUCGCAGCUCACUGGGCCAGCAUCGGUUUUGGCGGCCGGAAAAAACCUAGGGAAUGUGGCUCUGCGCCUCGGUGUAGAGUGUUAUAGCCCUGGGGAAUACGGCCAGUCGGGACCGAGGACUGCGAUACUUGUUAUCUAGGAUGCUGGCAUAAUGGUUAUAUGCCGCCCGUCUUGAA